UGGGGAAUUUUGGACAAUGGGCGAAAGCCUGAUCCAGCAAUGCCGCGUGUGUGAAGAAGGCCUUCGGGUUGUAAAGCACUUUUGUCCGGAAAGAAAUCCUUGGCUCUAAUACAGUCGGGGGAUGACGGUACCGGAAGAAUAAGCACCGGCUAACUACGUGCCAGCAGCCGCGGUAAUACGUAGGGUGCAAGCGUUAAUCGGAAUUACUGGGCGUAAAGCGUGCGCAGGCGGUUUGCUAAGACCGAUGUGAAAUCCCCGGGCUCAACCUGGGAACUGCAUUGGUGACUGGCAGGCUAGAGUAUGGCAGAGGGGGGUAGAAUUCCACGUGUAGCAGUGAAAUGCGUAGAGAUGUGGAGGAAUACCGAUGGCGAAGGCAGCCCCCUGGGCCAAUACUGACGCUCAUGCACGAAAGCGUGGGGAGCAAACAGGAUUAGAUACCCUGGUAGUCCACGCCCUAAAACGAUGUCAACUAGUUGUUGGGGAUUCAUUUCCUUAGUAACGUAGCUAACGCGUGAAGUUGACCGCCUGGGGAGUACGUCGCAAGAUUAAAACUCAAAGGAAUUGACGGGGUCAUAGCUG
rnacentral:rRNA from 1 species